GGCUUGCAGCAAAUGCACCACCGGCAUUGCUCAUUGCUCACCAUUUCAGAGGAGCUUCUAUUUCAGAUUUUCAGGAUCAUCUGCUUGGAGCGUUUGGACGUGUUGAGCUAAUCGAGCUCGUGGGUGAAGGGCGAUGGCGCGUAACGGCGUGAAGAAGAGCAUUUGGGACUACCUCUGCGGUUGCUCAUCUCCCAAGACAAAGUGAUGGAUGCAGAGUUAAAACACAUGAGGAUCUAAGGUAGCCAAAUUAUUCUUUUGUAUACGCCGUCGUCAGGAGCUGUAUGGUUCUUGAAAUAUGUAGAGUCCUUGUACUUCAUUGCUUUGUUCGAUUAUUUGUGGCUGGUCAUGUUAAUUAAGUGUGUGUGUGUGUGUAAGGGUGUUGGAAUUCUGUGUGGAAUAUAAUGGAAGUGUAAGUGUCUUGUAAAACAGGUCGUCCUGGAAUAAAAUCUUUCAUGUUUUGGUC